AGCGCCCCCACGCCGCCCGAACUCGAACAGCAGCAGCGCACCCACACACCUUCUUCCUCUCAUGCCGCUAGCCCACCGUACUCCCCUCCUCCCCUCCUGGCUCCCCCCCCUCGUGCACACACCCUCCCAUUCCGAGGCCUCCCCGCCAUGCCCAGCUACCCCUCAACCGGCCGCGCCGCCUGCACUCCCACCGCACCGCUGUAGUAUCCUCUCCUUUGGCCAGAUCCCGUUGAGAUCCGCGAGUCCACGGCAACCCUGGAAGGAUCACGGCGCGGCCACGGGCUUCCUCCCCUACGACAUCCCCUUCCCUCACCUCUAGCCUCCACUGCUCGAUCCAGUCCCUGAAGCCUGAUCUAGUCCACAACUCGGAGUCGGAAUCGUCGAUGCAGGUCGCGGCCAUAUCGCUGCAAGGAGCGACCGAUCCCAUCGUGGGCGUCCUGAACUGCAGGGAUGCACAGAGCCGCCAUCGGGCCCAGCAGCCGGGGAUGCGCCGUGCUGGGAGGCUGCCAUCCUUCGUCGCCACUGUCCCGCAUCCGUCUCCCCACCAGGCAAUGUCGACCAUGGGUUGAGGCCUGAUAUUGGCGGACAAGGUUCUCUCUCCGAUGACGUCGGCGGGACAGCCGGAUCUCCGUCGAGCAAUCCACUGAAUGCCCGCACCCUUGCACAAAAUUAGAAUUGGGUGUUUGUAUUUUUAGUUUCUUGUGUUCUGCUGGUCCUUGCAGAUGCAUUGUAUGGAAAUACCCGUAGUUUAAAGCUUGUGUAAUUUUUUCUGCUGUGUGUAUGUAUUUGUUUUUUGAGGACCAUAUGUAUUUUUUUCUUUUAUUUAAUGACAUGACCGUAUAUCUUCUAUCAAA